rnacentral:rRNA from 1 species
UACGUAGGGUGCAAGCGUUAAUCGGAAUUACUGGGCGUAAAGCGUGCGCAGGCGGUUAUGUAAGACAGGUGUGAAAUCCCCGGGCUUAACCUGGGAACUGCGUUUGAAACUACAAGGCUAGAGUGUGGCAGAGGGGGGGUGGAAUUCCACGUGUAGCAGUGAAAUGCGUAGAGAUGUGGAGGAACACCGAUGGCGAAGGCAGCCCCCUGGGUUAACACUGACGCUCAGGCACGAAAGCGUGGGGAGCAAACAGG